GUCGUAACAAGGUUUCUCCGUAGGUGAACCUGCGGAGGGAUCAUUA
rnacentral:rRNA from 1 species